GGGCUAAACCAUGCACCGAAGCUGCGGCAGCGAACGUAUCACCCAAGACAACUUUACGGAGUUGACGAUUGACGGAGCGAAGCGACGUCAAAGCGUUCAUUAAAGUCGAGUUGGCUUAGGGAUACGUUCGUUGGGUAGGGGAGCGUUCUGUAAGCCUGUGAAGGUGUGUCGUGAGGCAUGCUGGAGGUAUCAGAAGUGCGAAUGCUGACAUAAGUAACGAUAAAGCGGGUGAAAAGCCCGCUCGCCGGAAGACCAAGGGUUCCUGUCCAACGUUAAUCGGGGCAGGGUGAGUCGACCCCUAAGGCGAGGCCGAAAGGCGUAGUCGAUGGGAAACGGGUUAAUAUUCCCGUACUUGGUGUUACUGCGAAGGGGGGACGGAGAAGGCUAUGUUGGCCGGGCGACGGUUGUCCCGGUUUAAGCGUGUAGGUGUGUGUUCCAGGUAAAUCCGGUUCACUUUAACACUGAGGCGUGACGACGAGGCACUACGGUGCUGAAGCAACAAAUGCCCUGCUUCCAGGAAAAGCCUCUAAGCAUCAGGUAACACGAAAUCGUACCCCAAACCGACACAGGUGGUCAGGUAGAGAAUACCAAGGCGCUUGAGAGAACUCGGGUGAAGGAACUAGGCAAAAUGGUGCCGUAACUUCGGGAGAAGGCACGCUGACACGUAGGUGAAGUGAUUUACUCAUGGAGCUGAAGUCAGUCGAAGAUACCAGCUGGCUGCAACUGUUUAUUAAAAACACAGCACUGUGCAAACACGAAAGUGGACGUAUACGGUGUGACGCCUGCCCGGUGCCGGAA
rnacentral:rRNA from 1 species